AGUCAUAUGCUUGUCUCAAAGAUUAAGCCAUGCAUGUCUAAGUACAAACCUAAGAACGGUGAAACCGCAGACGGCUCAUUAAAUCAGAUAUAAUUCAUUGGAUCUGUAUGUUCCACUUACUUGGAUAACUGUGGUAAUUCUAGAGCUAAUACAUGCCUUUAGAGUCUCUGACAGCAAUGGAAGAGCGCUUUUAUUAGUACCAAAACCUUUCGGGCCUUGGGCCAUGAAAGCUUGGUGAAUCUAGAUAACCCAUGCUGAGCGCACGUCCUCGUGACGGCGCCGCAUCUUACAAGUGUCUGCCUUAUCAGCUCUCGAUUGUAGGUUAAACGCCUACAAUGGCUAUAACGGGUAACGGGGAAUCAGGGUUCGAUUCCGGAGAGGGAGCCUGAGAGACGGCUACCACAUCUAAGGAAGGCAGCAGGCGCGCAAAUUACCCACUCCUGGCACGGGGAGGUAGUGACGAAAAAUACUGUAGCGAGACUCAAUCGAGGCUUCGCUAUUGGAAUGAGUACACUUUAAAUCCUUGCACGAGGAUCGAGUGGAGGGCAAGUCUGGUGCCAGCCGCCGCGGUAAUUCCAGCUCCACUAGCGUAUAUUAAAGUUGUUGCGGUUAAAACGCUCGUAGUUGGCUCUCUGCUCUGGACUGGCGGUGCACCUUAGCGGUGCUACUGUUCAGCUUCCAGGCUAAGUCUGGUCGGCUCACCUGGGGUGCUCUUCACCGAGUGUCCCUAGUGGCCGACACGUUUACCUUGAAAAAAUUAGAGUGCUCAGAGCAGGCUAACCCAUAGCCUGAAUGGUGGUGCAUGGAAUGAUGGAAUAGGACCUCGGUUCUAUUUUGUUGGUUUUCGGAACCCGAGGUAAUGAUUAAGAGGAGCAGACGGGGGCAUUCGUACUGCGACGAUAGAGGUGAAAUUCUUAGACCGUCGCAUGACGAGCUACUGCGAAAGCAUUUGCCAAGGAUGUUUUCAUUAAUCAAGAACGAAAGUUAGAGGUUCGAAGGCGAUCAGAUACCGCCCUAGUUCUAACCAUAAACGAUGCUGACCAGCGAUCCGCCACAGUUAUUCCCAUGACCUGGCGGGGAGCUUCCGGGAAACCAAAGUCUUUGAGUUCCGGGGGAAGUAUGGUUGCAAAGCUGAAACUUAAAGGAAUUGACGGAAGGGCACCACCAGGAGUGGAGCCUGCGGCUCAAUUUGACUCAACACGGGGAACCUUACCAGGCCCGGGCACUAGAAGGAUUGACAGAUUGAAAGCUCUUUCUUAAUUUGGUGGGUGGUGGUGCAUGGCCGUUCUUAGUUGGUGGAGUGAUUUGUCUGGUUAAUUCCGAUAACGAACGAGACUCUAGCCUAUUAAAUAGUCGGUGGAUAUACAGUGGCACAGUGUUGUCGAAUUGAAUGAACCAUGAAAGUAGCUCCUUCCCAAUGCUGCCUCCGGUGAAGGCCUUAGUGGUGUCUGCUGCUUAUGUGCGAUCGUGUUCGCUCACGUGAGUGCUGUAGUGGUGGCUCCAUGACGGCUGUAGCUGGGGUGCAACGGCGGGUUGGACUACACAAUGAAGUGGUGUCUAAACCGCAGCUUCUUCUUAGAGGGAUAAGCGGCAGCAAAUAAAAUACUAGCCGCACGAGAGAUUGAGCCAUAACAGGUCUGUGAUGCCCUUAGAUGUCCUGGGCCGCACGCGCGCUACAAUGGAGAGUUCAGCAAGCUCGCCCUGCUCCGAAAGGAGUGGGUAACCUUGUCAAAGCUGUCCUUAAAGGGGAUUGGGGCUUGCAAAUGUGGCCCAUGAACGAGGAAUUCCCAGUAGGCGCAAUUCACCAGAUUGCACCGAUUUAGUCCCUGCCCUUUGUACACACCGCCCGUCGCUACUACCGAUUGAAUGGUCUAGUGAGGGCAUCGGACUGGCGCUCCUGGAGUGGUCGCCUAUGCUUCGAUAAGAGUGCCUCUCGGGGUGCUUGAGGUAUAGGCGCCGCCUCGAGUCGACGGAAAGAUGUCCGAGCUGGGUCAUUUAGAGGAAGUAAAAGUCGUAACAAGGUUUCCGU
rnacentral:rRNA from 1 species